AUACGGAGGAUGCGAGCGUUAUCCGGAUUUAUUGGGUUUAAAGGGAGCGUAGGCGGGAGCUUAAGUCAGCGGUUAAAUGGUGCGGCUCAACCGUGCCCUGCCGUUGAAACUGGGUUUCUUGAGAGUGCAAGAGGCGGAUGGAAUUCAUGGUGUAGCGGUGAAAUGCUUAGAUAUCAUGAAGAACUCCGAUUGCGAAGGCAGUCCGCUGGGGCACGUCUGACGCUGAUGCUCGAAGGUGCGGGAAUCAAACAGGAUUAGAUACCCUGGUAGUCCGCACGGUAAACGAUGAUUACCCGCUGUCGGCGGCAGACAGUCGGCGGCCAAGCGAAAGCGAUAAGUAAUCCACCUGGGGAGUACGUUCGCAAGAAUGAAACUCAAAGGAAUUGACGGGG
rnacentral:rRNA from 1 species